UGAGAGGUGGACUGGGGAACAUCUGAGUACAGCCAAAGGAAACAUUGGUAGACAUGUGAGGAGCCAGUUUCUGAGGCAGUAGGGCCGGAGAUCUUGGGUCUAGUUGGCUCCAGAUGCUUCUAAUCAUGAGGGGUCAUGCUGAACUCAUGACCCCACUGCUUCUCUGCCUGCUAGGGCGAUGGUUCUGAUGUGAUCCUGAACGGUAGGAGAGAAGAAGACCGAAGAGAAGAAAGGACAUGAAGCAAGGGACGGGCGGAGGAGGAGAGCGGCGGGAGGCAGGCCAGCAGAGGAUACUUUCUGCAGCUCGUAACCUCAGACUAAAACAGCAGUGACUGGAACAUGAAAAGUAUUCACAGGAGGCGAAGUCUCCAGGCGGACCCUGCUGGCGCAGCAGCUCAGCUGUGUCUGCAGGUCUUCCCUGGCAUCUUGGCAUGCUGGAUCAUUGCAGUAUAGUUGCGAAGAGUCUGUUGGAGCAGCAAGCAUCAUGCCCAUGCUCAAGUUAGGAAGAAUCUCAAAGAAUUUGGAGCAUUGGCUGAGAUGAACCUGAGGAAAAUAAUUUGUUUUUGUGAGGCUGAGAACGAACGAAUGGACACAGUUGAUCUUGCCAGCUCUUGAGUUCUGUGGCUGAGUUCCCCGAGAAAGCUGCACUUCAAGAGGCACAGAAGACUCAAGUCCGGCACAAGCAUCCUUUCCUCCUCUGACCAGUGCUGGGGUGAGUCUGCUGUAGCCAAGGCCCAGCGCGUCAGCCCCGUUCACGGAAACCAUCUCGGGAUGUGUCCUUUGCAUCUUGGAGCGAUUGUUCCUUGCUCUUUAACCACGGUGGCCGUGCUUUGAGUAGCAGUAGGACCUGGCUUCUCUAGCUUCGCUUCAAAAGCUCUUUGUAGCUUGCCUGCCCUUUGGUCUCCCUGUCUUUGGUGACAUCAGGCCAAUCUGAGUUGACCUCAGUCCUGCCACAGCUCUACCUGGGCUCUACCUGCUUUGACCCUCUGGAGUAAAGAACCUCAGACAAAACAGAACUUCAGCCCCGUGGAAAUGUUCACCAGCUUUAGAAAUGUAAAGUGAUUUCCAUGUAGCGCCAUCCUGCCACUAGUCAGCCCUGGCCAUCGUUAAGAGUUUAUUAUUAAAAACUAACCAUCUUCACACAGUGCCAAAUAUCUAAAGGAAAACUCAACUAUGUGGAUGUUCUUUCUCAAUGUUGUGCAAUCCAAACAUUUGGCCCCCGAGAGAAUCUGGCAUCUGUGUGUAUUUAGCACACAGACACCCGGACGUUUGGACAAGGAAUGGAAAACUCAGCAAAGACAGGGAAUCCUGGCAUUUGUAGAAAGGAGAGUUGCAAGGCCGAGGAGUCCAUAGGUGGGUUCGGGCUGGUGUCGACAGCCCCAGCUUCUCCGAGAGCAGUACAGACUCUGAUGAGGGACCCAUCCCAGCCUAACGAAGUGAGGACAGGCGGCAGGUCAAUACUCCCCUCCCUGGAUGACAUCUCUGUCCUUUUGAGCUUCUGGGCUAAGAAGCAUGUGUCAACUUGCACAGCUCCCCCCCCCCCCCCCCCCCCCAGCAACCUGCUUUCUCGGCCCUGGCUUACCUUAGAAAGCAAAAACAAAUUUUUUGUUCCAACAUACCACAGCUACUUAGAUGUGGAAACUUAGCCUUCUUAAGAUCAAAAUCCCAUGACUCACCCUGACUCCUACUUUAUUAGAAAGCAUGUGGCCCUGCAGUUGGCACUGUCGGGCUAGCUAAAAUGUACCUAUCUUAAGAAAGGUGACACCAGCCGGGAGCUAGCACAGUUGGCCCAAAGUUGGCACACAAGGAACUACACACAAGGCCGACUGUUUUGCAAGCUUUUGUCUUCAUUACCUUCCUAGGGCAGUAGACAGAGAAGGGACCAAGCUCUCUGAGCUAUGUACCUCUUCUCAUCUAAACGACUCCAAAGAAAUAACUGGCCUUUGUUAGGCUGAGAUUGACUGGCCUGGAGUGGUCUUGCUAUGUAAGGCUCUGUGACCCACAAUCCUCCUGCCUCUGUCUCCUGAGGGUUAUGAUACAUAGCAAGUUCAAGGCCAACUCCAGCUACCUAAUGAGACCCUGUCUUAAAAAGCAAAGAUCUGGGAGUACAGCCUGGUGGUUGAGUGCAAAAGUGCAAGGCCCUGGGUUCGAGCUCCAGCACAGUCGCAAAGAAAGAAAAAGAAAAAUUCACGUGGCUUCUUGUUAUGGUGGUAGCACCAGAAUGCUGCUUCCCUUAUCCUGUCCUUCC